rnacentral:rRNA from 1 species
GUCUUAUUGAAAUUAAUUUUAAGUCAAUCUGCCCAAUGAAAUAAUUAAAUGGCUGCAGUAUAACUGACUGUACAAAGGUAGCAUAAUCAAUUGAUUUUUAAAUGAAAUCUGGAAUGAAAGAAUUAAUGAAAUAUAUACUGUCUCAUAUAUAUUAAAUAAAUUUAAAUUUUUAAUAAAAAUGUUAAAAUAUUUUUAUGGGACGAUAAGACCCUAUAGAAUUUUAUAUAAAUUUUUUGUAAUUAAUAUAAAAUAUAAAUUUAUAUUUAGUUGGGAGAAUUAUUAAUUUUAAUGAAUUUUAAUAUAAAAAAAAACUUUAAUUUAAGAAAAUUUUUUUGAUUUUUAAUUUAAAAUUUGUAGAAUAAAUUACCUUAGGGAUAACAGCGUAAUAUUUUUUUAUAGAUCAUAUAAAAAAAAAUGAUUGCGACCUCGAUGUUGAAUUAAGAUAAAUUUUAAAUGCAGGGGUUUAAUAAUUAAGUCUGUUCGACUUUUAAAAUCUUACAUGAUUUGAGUUCAAAUCGACGUAAGU